AUAACCCAAAUUCUUCAUAAAAAUAAACUCAACUUACACCGAGCAAAGACGGGUUGCUUGCAAAAACAUGGUUUCGAAGGCAUCAACACUUUCAUGCGUUCGCCUCCUUCAACUACUGCCCCUCCUCUUUUUUUUCAUUCUCCUCGUCACAACUCCAGGAUCUUUCGGUACACCGAGUUUGCUUGAAAAGAUGAGGCAUAGCGAGGACGAUCCGCUCGCCACCAUAAGCCAUGGAGGAGCUUUGGAAAACGCCCAUGACUUGGGGGCGAUGGAUUAUACUCCAGCUGGGCCAAGCCCUCCAGUCCAUAAUAACCCAAACUAAUAAGUGAAAAUUUAAAUAUUUUGUAA